UUGCUUGAGGGAUGAACAAGUCCCUAACAUCAAUUCAUCAUCCUUCACUUUAUCAGCAUUAGUUUUUUCCUCAUCUUUUGCCGGUCAUGCUGGGAUGAGAAAUAA
rnacentral:snoRNA from 1 species